UACGUAGGUGGCAAGCGUUGUCCGGAUUUACUGGGCGUAAAGGGCGCGUAGGCGGCAGACCAAGUCCGGGGUGAAAUCUUUCGGCUCAACCGGAAAAGUGCCUUGGAUACUGGUCUGCUCGAGGGAGGUAGGGGCAUGUGGAACUUCCGGUGGAGCGGUGAAAUGCGUUGAUAUCGGAAGGAACUCCGGUGGCGAAAGCGACGUGCUGGACCUCUUCUGACGCUGAGGCGCGAAAGCUAGGGGAGCGAACGGG
rnacentral:rRNA from 1 species